GACGAACGCUGGCGGCGUGCUUAACACAUGCAAGUCGAACGGAAAGGCCCUGCUUUUGUGGGGUGCUCGAGUGGCGAACGGGUGAGUAACACGUGAGUAACCUGCCCUUGACUUUGGGAUAACUUCAGGAAACUGGGGCUAAUACCGGAUAGGAGCUCCUGCUGCAUGGUGGGGGUUGGAAAGUUUCGGCGGUUGGGGAUGGACUCGCGGCUUAUCAGCUUGUCGGUGGGGUAGUGGCCUACCAAGGCUUUGACGGGUAGCCGGCCUGAGAGGGUGACCGGCCACAUUGGGACUGAGGUACGGCCCAGACUCCUACGGGAGGCAGCAGUGGGGAAUAUUGCACAAUGGGCGGAAGCCUGAUGCAGCAACGCCGCGUGCGGGAUGACGGCCUUCGGGUUGUAAACCGCUUUCGCCUGUGACGAAGCGUGAGUGACGGUAAUGGGUAAAGAAGCACCGGCUAACUACGUG
rnacentral:rRNA from 1 species